CUCAGCACCAGGAGCAGCCCACAGAACACCCAGCAGCACCUACACAGGACCGUGGCUGUGGUCGUUUCUGAGCAAGGCAAAGGGCAACGUCCCCAUCCUGCUGCCCAAGAAAACAUCCCUGAGCCAGCUUCAGCCUCUUUACAUCUCUGCAGUUUGGGCACAGAACUUCCGAUCUGUCUUCUGCUCUGACACAUUUUGAGAAUGAGCAAAUAAAAGGAGAAAAGCGGAAAUGUUACAGAACAGUUGGAGGAAUGCCUGGAAUGAGACAUCCCUGUACAAGAAAUGCAAAAAUCCUAAUAGCCUUUUAUAUAUUCAUGAAUUAAGUGACAGAAAGGCUAAGCAGGAAAGUCCCACUGUUACAGAAGGGAAUAUUCACACAGCUCCUAUUAGCUGUUGUUUUCCAACACUGCAGUCUUCAGGGGAAUUAACACAUUUCCUAUUGAGAAAGAGGAAAACAAGACAGCUCAUUUAUCUGGAGGAGCGUCCCCGUCUUAUCACAGUAUCUGAGCAGAUCAAAGCUACCAGACACCACCAGAACCAGCACCAAAAGAUGUGGAACAUCUGAAGAAACUCUUCAUUCCAUCAUGUAAAUUAAAUGGCAAAAAAAAAAAAUGUUUGUGGCUCCACUGCCUUUAGAGAUGUUUUGCUGCAGUGCUGACAUAGUGGCAAUGAAUCUGCUCUCACCGUUAGAAAAGUAUAAUGGACUGCCUGAGUCUGUGCCUCCUGCUCAAACCUGUAAGGCAUACAGAGACAAAAAGUAUUUGGCAGUGCUUAAAAUACCUCAUCCUCGUUUGUAUCUGUGCUUCUCAAUCUGCUGAAAGGAACUGCAUCUAGCUUGAAAACUUUCAGCUGAAAGGGAUUCUGUAACUUUAUUUUCCAUGUGUGCCCUUAAAAUGGUCUGAAUUUCUAAGGAAUCCUAGGAGUUUCAAAGUCAGUUUUUACACUGACACGCGAGUUUUUCAUAUCAUGUAACAAGUGCCAACGAUGUUACCCAUACUUCAAUGCUAUCUCC
ensembl:lncRNA